AUCCAGGCCACCAUGGCUGUCGAUGUCGCCGUGUCGGCGAUCCCGCGGCCCCGUGGAUGGAUAAGAAAGGUUCCGUCACCCCCUGGAGGAAUCCGUGACCGCCCACAUCCAUCUCCCCCUCUUCCCCCCAUCUCCACCUCUCCCUCUCUGUCGUUCUGGAGGAAGGGCCGACGCGCCCUCCGCCGUCCACCACGCGCCACCGCGGCCAUCGACCUCCCCUCGACACUCCGCCCUGACCAGGAGCUCCGGGACGCUCCUCCGCUUCUUCUUCGCCAACUAGCACAAGCCGGGACGCCACAUCGACGCCGCCCUCGCCAAUCCCCUCCGCUGGCGUCCGCCUCUGCCUCACCGUCGAUCCGCCGCCAUCCGCCGCUCGGUUUGCCCAUCGUCGACAAGCUCCGGCCAACCCGACCCCUCCACGAUCUUUGGUACCCCGAGAUUGCCGCUGAUGCCGCUGUGAUCGACUACGUCGACGACGACCCCUUCUUCUUGUCUGAGCAACCAGAUGGUGUACCCCUGGAGCCAGAAGCCACCGUUGACGGAUACUACUACGUGGAGACCGCCGACGACCAAGAGUAGUUAGGAGGUCUCAGGCAGGAGGCCUUGCCUCUUCGAUCGUUGAUGUUUGUGCUAGCCUUUUAAGGCAUCCUUGUCUAACUUAUGUCUGUACUCAGAUAUUGUUGCUUCCGCUGACUCUUGUGUAUCGAGCUUGUAUUCGAGCCCUCGAGGCCCUGGCUUGUAAUAUGAAGCUUGUAUUACUUUGAUUUGUG
rnacentral:rRNA from 1 species